AUAAGUCACGUAUGCUACAUGAUUUCUUCCAUUUCCAUUUCUUGUUCUUUGUAUUUUGUCCUUGCUGCCCAGUUUACCCUUACAUUGCUGUACUUCAUAAUAUCAGGUGAAUGCUAGUGCUCAGUUCUGUGGGGUGGCUGAAAUGAUUGGACCUGUUGAUUUUGACAAGAGUCUGGAUUACUGGCAGCAAGACAAAUGGAGUGGCCAGUUUCCUGUGAAGUGGCAUAUGAUUAAAGACGUUCCCAACAGUCAGUUUCGUCACAUCAUUCUUGAAAAUAAUGACAACAAGCCUGUAACUAACAGCCGAGAUACUCAAGAGGUGACAUUUUGUGAACAAGCCUUUUUGUUCUUCUUUUUCUACAAUGUAGGAUAUAUAUUGCAUGCAGUUCGUAAAAGCAAUAUCCUUACUAGGGGAAAUCUAGAUAUUUAGGUUUUUUUUUAAGAAUACUUAUAGUAGCUUGACUGAGCUUUUGUCUGUUGUCGAUCUUUCUGUCAUUGCCUGUUUAUGGACUAUUAACUAUCCCAGCUUAGGUAGAUGUUAUCUUUAUUGCGGAAGCUCUUGGUAUUUCUCAGGCUCGAAUGCCUCCGAAAAUUCUGUGUGAAAUGUACCUCCGACGCUUUUGGUGUAAAUUCUGAUGCUAAUCAUGCUAUAGAGUCUGAAUUUUUAUCUUGUUUUACUUGCUUAAUACAAAUAUAUUCGAAUUCUGAUUCUUAGGUCCUACAUACCCUAAGCCUCAAAGAUUUUGAAUCAUUUGUAGGCUUUGUCCUCCUGUUUCCCCUUUUAUAGUUUUACUUGUCCUAUGUAAAGGAGAUGACCGUACGGAGGUUAUUCUAGUGCACAGCAUGUGAUAUAUGUUAUUCAUUUGAAUUUGAUGGAAAACUAGGUUUUAAAUUGUAGAGUAGAAAUCUUGAAGCGCGUUGUAUUUUGGUUAGUCUUGUACUUUUUCCUUACAACUCCUGGUUUUGCUCCCAUAUGUGUGCAGGUAAAAUUGGAGCAGGGAAUUGAGUUGUUGAAUAUCUUCAAGAACUAUGAAACAGAGAUGUCGAUUCUAGAUGAUUUUGAAUUUUAUGAAGACCGGCAGAAAGCAAUGCAAGAGCGGAAGGCCAGACAGCAAGCCAGCCUGAUUGCUGUCGGUGUAGUUGGAGAAAAUGAGCACAAAAGUACUGUUCAAAUUCCCAGUGAUUUCAUCAAGCACAUGUCCAAGAGUUUUGCUCAAGUCGUCCGCUUGGAUGAGGGCAGUAAAGAGCCUACUACCCUUUCCGAAAGAGCUAGUCCUGCUUCCGACGGCUCCAUUGGUGCCAGAGUAAAACUUGAAGAUGCGAUGCCAGCUCCCGUGCCUUCCUCUCAGACCGGUUAGGAAGACAUGGAUUUCUCCCCGUUUGUAUGUGACACAAACUUCAAUACUACUUUCAGUUUUUUGUUAACAUGUGAUUAGGUUGCCUGAUGUCUCUCAUAUUCAUAAAGAGCGCAUCGGUAUCUGAAUGAAAAAGGGUUUUGUUUUUACCGGUUCCACGAAGCCGAUGACGGGCUUCAUGUAUCAUAUGCGUCGUGGGUGCGACUUUCCGAUUGUAGUCAUUAGUUUCAUAAGGUUUUGAGUGAGAGAGUAGUUCUCUUGAAAGAUAUUGGUUCCUGUUUUUGCCUUUGUAAUGUUUCCCAUUUUCGCAGGCAGUUCAAUAAAAAGUAUGCAGCAAAAAGACCUUGAGGAAAAAAACCUACUAUAUUAUAUGUUUUAUAUCGUGCAACUAGCUUUCGUUAUGUACGGUUUGUGUUCAAUUUUAAAUAAAAAAAUUCAAAAUAAUUUCUAGAUGCAUGGUGUAUGAUGAACAUUGUGAGGAUUCUUAUUAUCCUCUCAACAUAAUUGACAACAACAACAACAACAACAACAACAAAGCUUUUUCCCACUAAGUGGGGUCGGCUAUAUGAAUCCUAGAACGCCAUUGCGCUCGGUUUUGUGUCAUGUCCUCCGUUAGAUCCAAGUACUCUAAGUCUUUUCUUAGGGUCUCUUCCAAAGUUUUCCUAGGUCUUCCUCUACCCCUUCGGCCCUGAACCUUUGUCCCGUAGUCACAUAUUAGAACCGGAGCGUCAGUAGGCCUUCUUUGCACAUGUCCAAACCACCGUAACCGAUUUUCUCUCAUCUUUCCUUCAAUUUCGGCUACUCCUACUUUACCUCGGAUAUCCUCAUUCCCAAUCUUAUCAUUUCUCGUGUGCCCACACAUCCCACGAAGCAUCCUCAUCUCCGCUACACCCAUUUUGUGUACGUGUUGAUGCUUCACCGCCCAACAUUCUGUGCCAUACAGCAUCGCUGUCCUUAUUGCCAUCUUAUAAAAUUUUUCCUUGAGUUUCAGUGGCCUACGACGGUCCCACAACACGCCGGAUGCACUCUUCCACUUCAUCCAUCCAGCUUGUAUUCUAUGGUUGAGAUCUCCAUCUAAUUCUCCGUUCUUUUGCAAGAUAGAUCCUAGGUAGCGAAAACGGUCGCUUUUUGUGAUCUUGGCUAGAUUGCUCCGGUCAUUAGUGUGGAUAAGUAUAUAAAUGGAUAGAGACAGGAAAGCAAACACAAGAUGUACGUGGUUCACCCAGAUUGGCUACGUCCACGGAAUAUAGGAGUUCUCAUUAAUUGCGAAGGGUUUACACAAGUACAUAGGUUUAAGCUCUCAUUUAGUGAGUACAAGUGAAUGAUUUAGUACAAAUGACAUUAGGAAAUAUUGUGGGAGAAUGAUAUCGUAAUCAUGAAACUUCUAAGUACCGAAGUGGUAUCGUCUUCACUUGCCUUAUCUGUCUCAUAGGUAGAUGUGACAUCUUCUUUGGAAGUACUCUUCCUCCAUCCAGGGGUUGUAUCUUUAACUGGUGGAGAUGCACAAGGUAAUGUAUCAAUUUCACUUGAAGCUUACUUGUAGUUUCAGGCUUGGUCAAGCGCGAUACAAACCAUGUAGUAGGAGUCCCCCAAGUCGCCGAGCUAGAGGAUCUGCUGAAAGAGGUGACAGACAAGGUAAGCAAUCAGAAUUUCAAGCAAUCAGUCACAGAUCAGAAGUUUGAUUUCAAGUUUCGGCUGAUUGUUCUCAUUUUCCUUAUCUUGCAGGCAGCAUGAAGGAUAAAGAGAAGAAAAAUGAGAAGAGAUGAUAUGAGAUACUUUUGCUUUUGAAGAAGUAACUUUCCACAAGCUUAUUCUUGAACUGGGCUGGAGGGUUUUCUGGUUUCCUCCAGAGUAUAAGGCCGACUGAAGAAUUUGAGGGUCAAAACAAGUCCAUCAAAUCUAGAGUACGUUCGACCCUGCUGAUAUGGGAUACUUUGCUUUUGACAAAGUAGUGGAUGUAUGGGCACGUGUGCUGUUAUGCUUGUCUCCACAUGCUUCCUUGUAUCCUUCUCACUUGCCCUAUCUGUUCCUCAGGCAGAUGCGGUAUCUUCCCUGGAAGCAUAAGAUGUUGAAGAUGAGUACUCGAGAGCAAUGCUAGGUAAGUAAUCAGGUAAGGGGUUCUAGGCAGUCAGUUCCUGACUGGAAGCUUGAUUCCAAGUGCUAACUGAUUGCUUUCUUUCUCAUUGUCUUGCAGAUAAAAACAAGGCCAAAGGAAAAGACAGGAAAAAAGCAUGAUAUGGGAUACUCUUGCUUUUAACCCUGAUGAUAUGAGAUAUUCUUGCUCUAGUAUAGCUUGUUUGCAGAGGUAUUAUCGGGGGGAAAGAAAGCUGAAUAUUUCGAAAGGCUUCGUUGGGAGUGCCCUCUCAGAUAUGAGGAAGGGUUGAGCAUUUUUGCAGGUCUGCCUGUCUGUUGGGGAUGGAGGUCGACAUAUAUAGGAGUCUCCCUAACAACAAGUAGUAAUGCUAUUCAUUUACCCUGCUUGGUCAUAGCACGGUAGUGGGAGCUGCCAGCUUCACAUGUUUUAACUCUGUCAAAGCACUUUCAAAAAGUGGUCUGUGGUAUCUGGAAAGCUGAUUUUGUGUGUGAAGAUUACAGACAAGCUUUAUCCAAGGAGGUUUGGCUCUCGAAGUUGAGAAAGUGGUGCCUCUUCGGUUUUUGAACAAGCAAUCCUGUCGGGGAUCUAGCUCUCGAGAUUCGGAGAACGAUGCCUCUUCGAUUUUUGAGAAAGCAAUCCUGCUGGGGGUCUGGCUCUCGAGAUUCGGAGAGCGGUGUCUCUUCGAUUUUUGAGAAAGUAAUCAUGUUGGGAGUCUGGCUCUCGAGAUUCGGAGGGUGGUGCCUCUUCGAUUUUGGAUUAAGCAAUCUUGUUGGGAGUGUUUUCUCGAAUGUGAGUAAAGGUUGGGCAUGUUUGCUAGUUUACCUUGCCACGGAGCACAGAGGUUGACACACAGGGACUUUCCAAUUAUCCAGCAGUGGUACUUUCCUUUACCCUUGUGGGUAAUAAUACGGUAGCUAGACCUUCAAAAUUUAUGUGUCUAAACUUUGUUAGUGCUGUUUAUUUGCUAUUCUUUUACCCUUCUUGGUCAGAGCGAUGUAGUGGGAGCUGUAAGUUUCACGUGUCUCAACUUUGUCAGAGAACUUUGGCAAAGUUAUCUGUGGUACCCAUGAGCUAAUGUCACCAGAAAUCUUCGACAGAAUGCCCGUAAUUUCCGCAAAGCUGAAUGUGCGUGUGACAGGUGCUGACAAGGCUGAAAAAGUAGGUGCCUCUUCGAUUUCUGAUAUCGGCCAUCGUGGUCUCUGAGUAGCCCAGCUUUUGAAAAAGCAAGCGCCUGUUCGAUUUCUGAAAUCGGCAUUCGUGGUCUUUGAGCAGCCCAGCUUUUGAGAAAGCAAACGCCUCUUCGAUUUCUGAGAUCAACCCUCGUGGUCUCUGAGCAACCCAGCUUUUGAGAAAGCAAACGCCUCUUCGAUUUCUGAGCAGGCGCCUCUUCGAUUUCUGAAGCUCCGUCGAGUGCAGAUUUUUAUAGAGGCUGGCAUUAAGUUCCAAAGCACACUUGAAUCUCCACCAGUAGAAGCUCCAUUCUUGCACUUCUAAGAUCUUGAUUUGUCCGACCUCUUCUCUCUUCAACACCUUUGAAAAUGUCUGGCCCCUCCGACCGUCGUUUUGACUUGAACCUUGUUGAAGAGGCAGCCACGCCUUCUCCAGACAACAUAUGGCACCCAUCCUUUGUCUCCCCUACUGAUCCUCUUACCGUUGGGGAUUCCGUGAUGAAGAAUGAUAUGACCGCUGCGGUGGUGGCCAUGAACCUUCUCACUCCCAAAGAUAACAGACUACUUUCCAAACGGUUUGAUGAGUUGGCUGUUAAGGAUUCUCUGGCUCUCAGUGUUCAGUGUGCAGGUUUUGUGUCUAAUAUGGCCCAACGCCUAUUUGCUCGAACCCGCCAAGUUGAAUCAUUAGCGGCUGAAGUGAUGAGUCUCAAAUAGGAUAUUAGAGGGCUCAAGCAUGAGAAUAAACAGUUGCACCGGCUCGCACAUGACUAUGCUACAAACAUGAAGAGGAAGCUUGACCAGAUGAAGGAAUCUGAUGGUCAGGUUUUACUUGAUCAUCAGAGGUUUGUGGGUUUGUUCCAAAGGCAUUUAUUGCCUUCGUCUUCUGGGGCUGUACCGCGUAAUGAAGCUCCAAAUGAUCAACCUCUGAUGCCUUCUUCUUCUAGGGUUCUGUCCAGUACUGAGGCUUCGAAUGAUCCCCCUCCGGUGCCUUUUCUUUCUGGGGCUCUACCGACUGCUGAGACUUCUCCUAAGCAACCUUUGUGAAGGCUCCCUCUUGUUUGUUUAUUUUGACUCAUGUAUAUGUACAUAUUUGUAACUUAUCGGGGAUGUCAAUAAAUAAGCUUUGCUCCUUCAUACAUAUCCUUUAUAGCUUGGAUAUAUGCUACUCGUAUCCAAGCUAUAAAGGAUAUGUAUGAAGGAGCAAAGACUGCCGUAAGAACUCAUGAAGGACAAACCGAAAGCUUUUCCAUAACUGUAGGAUUACAUCAAGGCUCAUCCUUAAGUCCUUACCUUUUUGCGUUGGUAAUGGAUGAGUUUACAGGACAUAUUCAAGAUGAUAUUCCUUGGUUUCCGGCGUCCGGUGUAUUAGACGGCUGGAUUUGCAUGGCUAAGGGUUCAAACCCUUGGCUAUCAACGGCUUUUUGUUUCUUGAAGUCAACAGUUGAAGAUUACUAACUUACGCACUCCAAGACUUUUAUUAUUUAUGUUUGGUCUGAUUUUUCCUUAGUGAAUCCUCUAAUUUUUUUUAGUACUUAUUUUAUUUAGCCCACUCAAUCAACUAAAAAAUAAAAGGCAAUCAAGGUUCUUUCACUGGUUAUGCCAGCUAGCAAAUCAAUAGUACUGGGUUAGAUGAGAUAUAUAUAUAUUUUUACUAAUAUCAAUAUUUUUAAUGCUAAGGUUUUAUUUAUUUAUUAUAUAUUAAUUUAUUUUGGUACUUAAUAAUACGGUCUAAUGAAAUUCUUCUUCACUUAUAAAUAAGAGGUUUUAGGUUCAAAUUUUAGAAAUUUUUGCAACUAAUUUAUUCACCAUCCCAUUAGUGUAAUUAUGAUUUUGUAUAAAAGAAUGACAUUAAAAUGCAUGGGGAUAAUAAUGAAAAUUUUCUCAAAAACAUGAAAAUUUAAAAUUAAAUUUUAAGGAAUAUUGUAUUAAACCAUAACACAUUUAUUAAUCAAGAAUUAAUGAUUAAUUACUAUAUAACAUGUCCUUUUUUUUCCACUGGAAAGAGAAUCGUUGUCACAGCCCAUCCCGAAUUACUUUUAUUGAUGGCGUGAAAUGUCGAUUUUACCUUUGAGCGUUGGGUCGUGAGUGUGUGAAACGGGCCAAUCAUUUUAAAUCCUAAUUGUUUGGACCCAAUUAGAACUUAGAUUUUUCCUUUGUUUUUGGUUGGUGACCCAAAAUCUAGACCCCACACACACACCCACAUCAUUGCCGUUGACCUCUCUUUCUCUUCUUCUCUCGGAAUUCAUCCAUUUUCUGUCACCACCCGAUUCCGACAUACGUCCAAGAUCGACACGUGACGUCCCCAAAUGCACGUAACUUAACAUGAUGCAUAAAAUAUUAUUCAAGAUCUAGAUGCAUAAUAAUUUUGCGUAUACUUUAUGGCUGCAUCUAACCUCUUUGUUAGACUGUCUACGUACCUUCAAUAAGGAUCAAGCCAUUCGUAGUUCAACUUUUCACUACACUCGUAUAUUCAUCACAUAAACUGCCAUAUUUCAACAUAAUACACAAUUCAGAACGUGUAACAUCUCAAGGAACAAUCGACGAGGCGCAAUAAUAAUCUAUAGCCAUAUUGGUCAACGGUAUAUCAUAAUCUUAACAAUUACAUCCAACAUCAUCCAAUAAUCACACCAAAUAAUAACCCAUACAACACACUGACAUGCAGGGUUAGAGCGGCACAAUUAGGCGGAAGCCUACAUUUCUGAAGCUGAAAUCAAAUUCAAGGAACCAGGUCACCAAAUGGAUUCCGGACCAUUCAACGGAAUCAAACUCAGGAUAUGAUUCCAGACCAUCACUUAACGGAAUUGGAGAGUACCAUGCAUAUAGAACCACCCAAUGGAAUACAAGCUGGAUACAAUUCCAGACCAUCACUCAACGGAAUCGCAGAAUAGAAAUGAUUCUGGACCAUCACUCAACGGAAUCCGAGCCAGGGUACGAUUCCGGACCAUCACUCAACAGAAUCCGAACCAGGAUACGAUUCCGGACCAUCACUCAACGGAAUCGAGUGGAAGACCAAGGGACACAACAACGGCUUGAAGAAACAAUACAAGAACCAAGUACGUAAUUUAAAAGCGCUGAAUGACACAAAAAGUGAAAUAAGGAAACAAGAUGUGAAACAAGUGUCUAAGUAACAAACCCCAUGACAAUGGAUUAAUGGUCCACUACUAGCCCUCACAUUUCAUCACAUCAAUCCAAUCAUACAAUACAACCCAUAUUUCCAAAGCACAAGUCAAAUCAUACUUAAUGAAAAUAGAUCGAUGACCAGAAAUAAAAAUAACACUUCAAUAGAAUUCACAUUCAAUAACCAUAGGUCUAUGGUAUGUGUGUGUGUGUGUAUUUAUAUAUAUAUAAUUCACAUUUCAAUAGAAUUUCAUUUAUAACCCAUAUCAUAUUCACAUAUGAUAUUAAUAUAAAAAUCAAGGUAAUAGCUAUAUCAUAUAUAUUCAGGUCACUAUCAUACCAAUGUGAUCCCACUAGAUUUUAUUUAGCCUUCCAUAGUACUAAUUUUAUUAUUCAGAACGUUUAGAGACAUGUUGACCAAAAGUCAAUUCUCAAUCAACAGUAGGAUCCACAAUGCUACAUCAUUUGAUCCAGUAGAUUCGCACAUCAGAUUUUGGAUCUGUAACUUCCUAAGGUCCACAUUAUGCUCAAAGAAUAACAUACUAAAAUCUCAACAUGAUCCGACAGUUGGAUCUCCGCCAAUUACUAGAAUUGGGUGGCAGUUAACAAUUAAUUUUACUAAUUUAGAAAUCUAAUUUGGGAAGAUCCGUACGUCGGAUUUCUGAUCCGUCAGUUCCAGUUGUCUUUAAAUAUUACAUACUAUAAUGUAUUAAAGUUUAGUGACAAUCCAACGGUCGGAUCAUCGAUUCAUAUUUUGAUCAAGUAAUGUCUCAUAUUGAAAAUUAGGUUCAAACUAUCAAACCACGUCAUACGAAUAUUAAAUACAAAAUCAGGACAUCUAGUUGAACUUAGAAAGGCAUCGUCGGCCCACUGGCUACGCGGCACCAUAUGCGCCGCCAUGAGUGGCGGUUUCCGAUGAACGGAAACCCAAUUUUUCGACUAACUCCAAAAAUUACCAAAUUUCACAAAAAUGUAGAUAUCAAUGAGUAGAGCAAUUUUCAUACCUGUGGCCAAGUCCAAUUUGGCCAGGAAAAGCUCCAAAAUCGCUCAAACUCGCCGAAAACCCUAAGAUGGGUGUUCUUCGAUUUGACUUCCUCGAUGUUCCAAUGCCCCUACAACUGAUUGGGUCUUGUUCUUGGGUCCAAGGGGAGUUGAUUAAGGGUGGUGGUA
rnacentral:lncRNA from 1 species